AGAGACCCCCCCGGCAGCCGUUAGGGGAGGAGCCUGCGACCGCCCGCGCGCGCCUCACGCCCUCCCCUUUGUGUCACCAUGGCGGCGGAGGCGGCGGUGGCGAGGACUGCGAACGAGGGCUCGAAAGCCGCCGGGGUCUGAGGAGGCUACCGCGACCAUGGUGGCCCCAUGCUCCAGGCACAGAAACAGUCAGAUCCCAUCCUGCCUUGGGGAGCUUCAUGGGCUGGCAGGGGACAGACUCUGAGGGCCCGCAGCACUGACAGCCUGGAUGGCCCAGGGGAGGGCUCAGUGCAGCCCGUACCCACUACUGGGGGGCCGGGUACAAAGGGGAAGCCUGGGAAGAGGCUCUCAGCUCCUCGAGGCCCUUUCCCCCGGCUGGCUGACUGUGCCCAUUUCCACUAUGAGAAUGUUGACUUUGGCCACAUUCAGCUCCUGCUGUCUCCAGAGCGUGAGGGCCCCAGCCUCUCUGGAGAAAAUGAGCUGGUCUUUGGGGUACAGGUGACCUGUCAGGGCCGCUCCUGGCCAGUCCUCCGGAGCUAUGACGAUUUCCGUUCUCUGGAUGCCCAUCUCCACCGGUGCAUAUUUGACCGGAGAUUUUCCUGCCUCCCAGAGCUCCCUCCACCUCCAGAGGGUACCAGGGCUGCCCAGAUGCUGGUACCGCUGCUGCUGCAGUACCUGGAGACCCUGUCAGGACUGGUGGACAGUAACCUCAACUGUGGACCUGUGCUCACUUGGAUGGAGCUGGACAACCAUGGCCGGCGCCUGCUCCUCAGUGAGGAAGCCUCCCUCAAUAUCCCUGCUGUGGCUGCUGCCCACGUGGUCAAGCGGUACACUGCCCAGGCGCCAGAUGAGCUGUCCUUUGAGGUGGGAGACAUUGUCUCAGUGAUCGACAUGCCACCUACAGAGGAUCGGAGCUGGUGGCGGGGCAAACGGGGCUUCCAGGUUGGUUUCUUCCCCAGUGAGUGUGUGGAACUCUUCACGGAGAGGCCAGGGCCUGGCCUAAAGGCAGAUGCUGACAGUCCCCUGUGUGGCAUCCCAGCUCCCCAGGGCAUCUCUUCUCUGACCUCAGCUGUGCCCCGGCCACGUGGGAAGCUGGCAGGACUCCUCCGCACCUUCAUGCGCUCUCGUCCUUCUCGCCAGCGGCUGCGCCAACGGGGAAUCCUGCGGCAGAGGGUGUUUGGUUGUGAUCUUGGAGAGCACCUCAGCAACUCAGGCCAAGACGUGCCCCAAGUGCUGCGCUGCUGCUCUGAGUUUAUUGAGGCCCAUGGUGUGGUGGAUGGAAUCUACAGGCUCUCUGGCGUGUCCUCCAACAUCCAGAGGCUUCGGCAUGAGUUUGAUAGUGAGAGGAUCCCUGAGCUGUCUGGCCCCGCCUUCCUACAAGAUAUCCACAGUGUGUCCUCCCUCUGCAAGCUCUACUUCCGGGAACUGCCCAACCCCUUGCUCACCUACCAGCUCUAUGGGAAGUUCAGUGAGGCUAUGUCAGUGCCUGGGGAGGAAGAACGCCUAGUGCGAGUGCAUGACGUCAUCCAGCAGCUGCCUCCACCACACUACAGGACCCUGGAGUACCUGCUGAGGCACCUGGCCCGCAUGGCAAGACACAGCGCUAACACCAGCAUGCAUGCCCGCAACCUGGCCAUUGUCUGGGCACCCAACCUGCUACGGUCUAUGGAACUGGAGUCGGUGGGGCUGGGUGGGGCAGCCGCCUUCCGGGAGGUCCGGGUGCAGUCGGUGGUGGUGGAGUUCCUGCUUACCCACGUGGAGGUUCUGUUCAGCGAUACGUUCACCUCUGCUGGCCUGGACCCUGCAGCUCCUACGCCCAGGAUCCCCACUUCUUGGCCAGGACACCGUUCUUCCUUCACCCCUUAUAGCUCCUGGGGGCGCGUGGGGCCUUGGGUCCACCCGGGAGGAGGUGGGAGGUCCCCAGACUUGACCCCACCCUGGCCCUGCCCAGAGUCCCUGCCCUGCCCCGGACCCCAGCCCAGUCAGGAUUCUGCUCGUCGGAGGGCCCUCUGGCCCGAGGUAACUGACCAGAGCCACUGCCCUUGCUGGCUGCUGGGAGCUGCCUUCUCAUCAGCUCGUUCUGCCUUACCCAUCUUCCUUACCUGCCUGCUGCCCCUCCCCCCAAUUCCCGCCUGAUCUACACCGGCCCCCUGCCUUGCCAGCCCGGGUGGGCACGCUGCGGGGGCCGGGGCUUGGGCUGUGGCGCUUGGCUUUGCCUGUAGUCUCAAAUGACUCAAAGCUUAUAGCUGUCCCCUUUUCGACCUCUCCAGGUCGCUGCCUCCUUCCCAGACCCAAGUCCCUUGCGGGGAGCAGUCCCUCCACUCGCCUGCUAACACUGGAAGAAGCCCAGGCACGAACUCAGGGCCGUCUUGGAACACCUACAGAGCCCACGACUCCUAAGACGCCAGCCUCACCAGUGGAAAGGAGGAAAAGAGAGAGGGCGGAGAAACAAAGGAAGCCAGGAGGUAGCAGCUGGAAGACAUUCUUUGCUCUGGGGCGGGGCCCCAGCAUACCCCGGAAGAAGCCGCUGCCAUGGCUGGGUGGCAGCCGAGCCCCACCACAGCCUUCAGGCAGCAGACCUGACACUGUCACGCUGAGAUCUGCCAAAAGUGAGGAGUCUCUGUCAUCCCAGGCCAGCGGGGCUGGCCUCCAGAGGCUGCACCGGCUGCGACGACCCCACUCCAGCAGCGAUGCUUUUCCCGUGGGCCCAGCACCUGCUGGCUCUUGCGAGAGCUUGUCCUCUUCUUCUUCCUCUUCUUCCUCUUCCUCCUCCUCCUCCUCCUCAGAGUCUUCAGCAGGUGGCCUGGGGCCACUCUCUGGCUCCCCCUCACACCGCACCUCAGCCUGGCUAGAUGAUGGCGAUGAUCUGGAUUUCAGUCCACCCCGCUGUCUGGAAGGACUUCGGGGACUUGACUUUGAUCCCCUUACCUUUCGCUGCAGCAGCCCCACCCCAGGGGACCCUGCACCUCCUGCCAGCCCAGCACCUCCAGCCUCAGCCUCUGCCUUCCCACCUCGGGCAACCCCACAGGCUCUGUCACCCCAUGGACCCACUAAGCCUGCUUCACCCACUGCCCUGGACAUCUCAGAGCCCCUGGCUGUAUCAGUACCACCUGCUGUCCUGGAACUACUGGGAGCUGGAGGAACGCCUGCCUCAGCCACCCCAACACCGGCUCUCAGCCCUCAUCUCAUCCCCCUGCUGCUGCGUGGAGCUGAGGCCCAGCUAAGUGACACCUGUCAGCAGGAGAUCAGCAGCAAGCUAGCACCAACCCGGGGAGCUCCAGGCCAGCAAAGUCCUGGCGGCAUGGAUUCACCGUUAUUGCCCCCACCCUUGCCUCUGCUGCGCCCUGGUGGGGCUCCGCCCCCUCCCCCCAAGAACCCAGCUCGUCUCAUGGCCCUGGCCUUGGCUGAGCGAGCUCAGCAGGUAGCAGAGCAACAGAGCCAACAAGAGCAGGGGGGCACCCCACCUGCUCCCCACUCCCCCUUUCGACGCUCUCUGUCCCUAGAGGUGGGUGGGGAGCCUGUGGGGACUUCAGGGAGUGGGAUACACCCUCCCUCCUUAGCUCACCCAGGUGCCUGGGCUCCAGGUCCCCCACCUUACCUCCCAAGGCAACAGAGUGAUGGGAGCCUGGUAAGAAGCCAGCGGCCCUUGGGGACCUCAAGGAGAAGUCCCAGAGGGCCUUCCCAGGUCAGUGCCCAUCUCAGGGCAAGCGGGGCUUACAGGGAUGCUCCAGAGAUGGCAGCCCAGUCACCAUGUUCUGUCCCCUCACAGGGUUCUAACCCCAGCUUCUUCUCAACCCCCCGAGAGUGUUUGCCACCUUUCCUUGGCGUCCCCAAACAAGGCUUGUACUCUCUGGGACCCCCAUCCUUCCCACCUAGCUCUCCAGCCCCAGUCUGGAGGAACUCUCUGGGUGCCCCCUCAGCAUUGGACAGGGGAGAGAAUCUGUACUAUGAAAUUGGGGUAGGGGAGGGGACCUCCUACUCAGGCCCCAGCCGGUCCUGGAGUCCGUUUCGCUCCAUGCCUCCCGACAGGCAUAAUGCCUCCUAUGGUAUGCUUGGCCAGUCACCACCGCUCCACAGGUCCCCUGAUUUCCUGCUCAGCUACCCGCCUCCCCCCUCCUGCUUUCCCCCAGAGCACCUUACCCACUCAGUUUCACAGCGCCUUGCCCGGCGCCCUACCCGUCCUGAGCCCCUCUAUGUCAACCUAGCCCUAGGGCCCAGGGGCCCUUCACCUGCCUCUUCUUCCUCUUCCUCUCCUCCUGCCCACCCCAGGAGCCGGUCAGAUCCUGGGCCUCCUGUUCCCCGCCUCCCUCAGAAACAGCGGGCUCCUUGGGGUCCACAUACUCCCCAUCGGGUGCCUGGACCUUGGGGUUCCCCCGAACCUUUUCUGCUCUAUAGGCCAGCUCCACCAUCCUAUGGGAGGGGAGGGGAGGUCCGAGGAUCCUUGUACAGAAAUGGAGGACAUAGAGGAGAGGGGGCUGGUCCCCCUCCUCCUUACCCCACACCCAGCUGGUCCUUACAUUCAGAAGGACAGACCAGAAGUUACUGCUGAGAUAGGACCAGGAAAGGACUCUCCCUGCAUUGGAUCUUGGCCCAAGUCAAUCCCUUGUUUUGUAUUUUCUUGAGCUCACCACCCCACCCCAGGUUUCUAACUUUGUAACUUGCUCUGAUGUGGGUCCCUAACCCCAAAAUCAUUGUGUCCCUAUUAUGGGUUGCAGGAUAUGACCACCCCCCUCCCUCCUGGGACUCUUGCACAAUUGAGGGGGGGCAAGGCUGACAGCCUGUCCCUACUCCCUCUAGGAGUCUCCAGCCUGUACACAGACGGUGGGGAGACAGUUCUUGCCCACCUUCCUCGUGCACCCCACCCACUAAAGCCACCUGACAACAUUAAGGAAUAAAAAUGGCAGAAAUUUG